GUUUCGGUGGUUAUAGCGUUGGGGAAACGCCCGGUCACAUUUCGAACCCGGUAGCUAAGCCUUUCUGCGCCGAUGGUACUGCAUACGGGAGUGUGUGGGAGAGUAGGACACCGCCGAAC
rnacentral:rRNA from 1 species